ACAAAUUGCCACGUAUGCAUUAUAAAAAAAUUGUCAAAAAAAAAAAGUUGUUAAAGAGACUUUUUCUUGAAAAAAAACCUCAUUUUGUUACAUGAAAUGAAAUAGUGAAAUAUGUGGAUAAUUGUGAACAGGGGACAGCUAAGGGUAUGAAAAAAGAAGAGUUUAAUAAUGUGAUGAGGUGAAAGAAGACGGAAAAAAGAGUGAAUUUCUAGAAAAGAAAGAGAAGAAAAUAGAAAAGAAGACAGAAAAUGUAAAAAGGUGAAGGUGAUCCAUUUUUGGAAUACAUGCUUCAUGUGGCGUGGGCAUUGCAUGCAUCCUUGUCAUCGACCUCGGUGGGAAAGAGACUCCCAUUCCCAUUAACAAGAAGGUGGAUUUUGUUCAUGCAUUUCUCAUCAUCAUCAUCUUCCAACAAGUGCUUCUUCUCUGUGUGGCCAACAUUUUCAG
rnacentral:lncRNA from 1 species